ACGCUCGACACCUACGGGAGGCAGCAGUGGGGAAUAUUGCACAAUGGGGGGAACCCUGAUGCAGCGACGCCGCGUGAGGGAAGAAGGUUUUCGGAUUGUAAACCUCUGUCUUGUGGGACGAUAAUGACGGUACCACAGGAGGAAGCCGUGGCUAACUACGUGCUAGCAGCCGCGGUAAUCUGAGCGGGCUGGCAAGGC
rnacentral:rRNA from 1 species